GGUUAAGCGACUAAGCGUACACGGUGGAUGCCCUGGCAGUCAGAGGCGAUGAAGGACGUGCUAAUCUGCGAAAAGCGCCGGCGAGGUGAUAUGAACCCUUGACCCGGCGAUGUCCGAAUGGGGAAACCCAGUGUGAUUCGUCACACUAUCGUUAACUGAAUACAUAGGUUAACGAGGCGAACCGGGGGAACUGAAACAUCUAAGUACCCCGAGGAAAAGAAAUCAACCGAGAUUCCCCCAGUAGCGGCGAGCGAACGGGGAGCAGCCCAGAGUCUGAAUCAGCUUGUGUGUUAGUGGAAGCGUCUGGAAAGUCGCACGGUACAGGGUGAUAGUCCCGUACACGAAAGCACACAGGCUGUGAACUCGAAGAGUAGGGCGGGACACGUGGUAUCCUGUCUGAAUAUGGGGGGACCAUCCUCCAAGGCUAAAUACUCCUGACUGACCGAUAGUGAACCAGUACCGUGAGGGAAAGGCGAAAAGAACCCCGGCGAGGGGAGUGAAAAAGAACCUGAAACCGUGUACGUACAAGCAGUGGGAGCACCUUCGGGUGUGACUGCGUACCUUUUGUAUAAUGGGUCAGCGACUUAUAUUCUGUAGCAAGGUUAACCGUAUAGGGGAGCCGAAGGGAAACCGAGUCUUAACUGGGCGUUAAGUUGCAGGGUAUAGACCCGAAACCCGGUGAUCUAGCCAUGGGCAGGUUGAAGGUUGGGUAACACUAACUGGAGGACCGAACCGACUAAUGUUGAAAAAUUAGCGGAUGACCUGUGGCUGGGGGUGAAAGGCCAAUCAAACCGGGAGAUAGCUGGUUCUCCCCGAAAGCUAUUUAGGUAGCGCCUCGUGAACUCAUCUUCGGGGGUAGAGCACUGUUUCGGCUAGGGGGCCAUCCCGGCUUACCAACCCGAUGCAAACUACGAAUACCGAAGAAUGUUAUCACGGGAGACACACGGCGGGUGCUAACGUCCGUCGUGAAGAGGGAAACAACCCAGACCGCCAGCUAAGGUCCCAAAGUCAUGGUUAAGUGGGAAACGAUGUGGGAAGGCCCAGACAGCCAGGAUGUUGGCUUAGAAGCAGCCAUCAUUUAAAGAAAGCGUAAUAGCUCACUGGUCGAGUCGGCCUGCGCGGAAGAUGUAACGGGGCUAAACCAUGCACCGAAGCUGCGGCAGCGACGCUUAUGCGUUGUUGGGUAGGGGAGCGUUCUGUAAGCCGUUGAAGGUGGCCUGUGAGGGUUGCUGGAGGUAUCAGAAGUGCGAAUGCUGACAUAAGUAACGAUAAAGCGGGUGAAAAGCCCGCUCGCCGGAAGACCAAGGGUUCCUGUCCAACGUUAAUCGGGGCAGGGUGAGUCGACCCCUAAGGCGAGGCCGAAAGGCGUAGUCGAUGGGAAACAGGUUAAUAUUCCUGUACUUGGUGUUACUGCGAAGGGGGGACGGAGAAGGCUAUGUUAGCCGGGCGACGGUUGUCCCGGUUUAAGCAUGUAGGCGGAGGUUCCAGGUAAAUCCGGUACCUUUUAACGCUGAGGUGUGAUGACGAGGCACUACGGUGCUGAAGUAACAAAUGCCCUGCUUCCAGGAAAAGCCUCUAAGCAUCAGGUAACACGAAAUCGUACCCCAAACCGACACAGGUGGUCAGGUAGAGAAUACCAAGGCGCUUGAGAGAACUCGGGUGAAGGAACUAGGCAAAAUGGUGCCGUAACUUCGGGAGAAGGCACGCUGAUAUGUAGGUGAAGCCCCUGCGGGUGGAGCUGAAAUCAGUCGAAGAUACCAGCUGGCUGCAACUGUUUAUUAAAAACACAGCACUGUGCAAACACGAAAGUGGACGUAUACGGUGUGACGCCUGCCCGGUGCCGGAAGGUUAAUUGAUGGGGUUAGCGGCAACGCGAAGCUCUUGAUCGAAGCCCCGGUAAACGGCGGCCGUAACUAUAACGGUCCUAAGGUAGCGAAAUUCCUUGUCGGGUAAGUUCCGACCUGCACGAAUGGCGUAAUGAUGGCCAGGCUGUCUCCACCCGAGACUCAGUGAAAUUGAACUCGCUGUGAAGAUGCAGUGUACCCGCGGCAAGACGGAAAGACCCCGUGAACCUUUACUAUAGCUUGACACUGAACACUGGUCCUUGAUGUGUAGGAUAGGUGGGAGGCUUUGAAGCGUGGACGCCAGUCUGCGUGGAGCCGUCCUUGAAAUACCACCCUUUAAUGGCUGGUGUUCUAACGUAGACCCGUAAUCCGGGUUGCGGACAGUGUCUGGUGGGUAGUUUGACUGGGGCGGUCUCCUCCCAAAGAGUAACGGAGGAGCACGAAGGUUAGCUAAUCCUGGUCGGACAUCAGGAGGUUAGUGCAAUGGCAUAAGCUAGCUUGACUGCGAGAGUGACGGCUCGAGCAGGUGCGAAAGCAGGUCAUAGUGAUCCGGUGGUUCUGAAUGGAAGGGCCAUCGCUCAACGGAUAAAAGGUACUCCGGGGAUAACAGGCUGAUACCGCCCAAGAGUUCAUAUCGACGGCGGUGUUUGGCACCUCGAUGUCGGCUCAUCACAUCCUGGGGCUGAAGUAGGUCCCAAGGGUAUGGCUGUUCGCCAUUUAAAGUGGUACGCGAGCUGGGUUUAGAACGUCGUGAGACAGUUCGGUCCCUAUCUGCCGUGGGCGCUGGAGAAUUGAGGGGGGCUGCUCCUAGUACGAGAGGACCGGAGUGGACGCAUCACUGGUGUUCGGGUUGUCAUGCCAAUGGCACUGCCCGGUAGCUAAAUGCGGAAGAGAUAAGUGCUGAAAGCAUCUAAGCACGAAACUUGCCCCGAGAUGAGUUCUCCCUGAGACUUAAAGUCUCCUGAAGGAACGUUGAAGACGACGACGUUGAUAGGUCGGGUGUGUAAGCGCAGCGAUGCGUUGAGCUAACCGAUACUAAUGAACCGUGAGGCUUAACCUU
rnacentral:rRNA from 1 species